AUACAAUUCAUAGUAUUCAUGAAUGGCCUGUGAUCUGGGCCUCGUGAGUUGCAAUUUGGUGACCUAGUUCUAUCAUCUUCUGCAUUCCUAGUAAUAAAUGUAGAAGAAGCGGUUUCUCGUUCCAAGCAUGUAAAUUGUUUGCAACAAGCAUUUGAAUGUGGUUUCCUCCCUCCUAUCUCCCACACUUGUUACCCUCAUUAUUAUUGUCACACCCAGGUCAAAUGUCAUAUUUUAAUGGUUGCUUAAUCUUUCCUACGAAUUGAAUUCAGCUUUCACAAUGUUUGUUUUUAGUUCAUUGUUGUUUUGUUUAUCUUACACUAGUGUGAUUGAUGGGUCGGAAGUAGGGAAUUUCAAACAAAAUUCACACUCAGUGUCUGGAAUGCAGCAUAUACAAAUAAGGAACUAAUGAACAUUGGUGAAAAAGACAAAAACCUAAACCUCAGGGGACCAAAAGAAAUAAGGUGGGAUUUUCCAGAGAGCAGGUUUAGCAGCUAAGGAAAUGUAAUUGUGGGAAGACCAGCAUAUUUAACUCCAUCACUAAAGUAAUAACACACCUGAACCAGCACAUCCAGGUCUUCAGGAUUACUUGAAAAUUACAGGCGGGUGUUUAAUGAGGGUUUGAUUAGGCCUUGGCUAUGAUACUGUUGGGUGUGGAACCAUAUGUAAAGUAACAUGAAAGCAGUAAAACUCCAAUAAAGCAUCAGUAAACUUUACUUCACAAAUCUUCUUAAUCACUGUUGAUUCAGUCUCGCAUACGGCAGAUUUGGGAUUCAAUAUUCAUUUUAGGUUCAUUAAAAGAUCCACAUCUCAUGGGCCUGACCAUUAUAAAUAUUUUUUGGGGGAUGACUCAGUGGAUUAGGAAUUCAUCACAACAGUGGAAACUUCAUUUCUUGUAAAGAGCAUUUCUUGCACAUGUGCCAAAGAUUCCAGUCAGCGUUCAUCCACUAACUGGAAAGUCAAAGGAUCUUAUACCACGGCUGACCCAAGACCUGUCUCUUCCAGGGAAGAUGGGUUCUGCAUGUACGAGGCUGUGUCAGACUCAUCGUUUUCAUGCAGGUGGUCUGGGUCCAGAAUCGGUGACAUCUAUUGUAAUAAAGGGAUUAUUAAUUAAACAGCACAUCUAAAGUAUUACUUUAAAUA